AGAUAACCGGUCUCACCGUAUUUUUCCCAAAAAAAAUAAUAAUUUGGAGAGACCUGUUACAUCACUAAAAUGGUCUCUCAUACACUAGCUCUAAUUAAACCCUAGAUCUUCUCCUAUCUUCAACCCGCCUCCAUCUUCUUCCUCUUCUCUUAGCUCUCUCUCUCUCUUCUUUCUCUAUUUAGUCCCUAUCUUUUCCUUCAAAUCUCCCUAUCAUGGGAAACUACGGUGUCAACGAACAGUUUCUCAAUCCAUGGGAAACUUCGUAGAUCCGAUGGUAAGAAUGAACGAAAACCCUAGAUCCCUAAUAACUUUCGAAAUUUGUCAAAUCCAAGUAGGCUACCAUUGCAAUUCGUCAAAUCUAUUUUAAUUUUUUGAUUUUGUCGUGAAAAUGUCGACAGGUGCAAAUGGGUGCAUUAUUGCCAUUUUAUGAUGUCUCGUAUUUCUUCUAAUUCCAAUGUUUUUUUUUAAUUAUUAUUUUAAUUAUUGUUUUUUUGAAUCUAUGGUUUAUCAAUUGUCGGCAUGAUUUUAUGAAUAGUUUGUAUGAGGUAUGAAUAAGAGGAAAAUCAAUAUUUUAAGAUUUACAAACUAUAAUCUAUGAAAAUUACUCGUCUAUUUAUCCCAAUUUUUUUGUACUUUCUUUUCUUUAUGAGUAUUGAUCUCUUACAAUCUUAGUUGAGCAGAUCUGGGUUUGAAUUUGAACAGAGUAAAAUGCUUGCAAUCUGGUGGAAAUUAAAGCCGAAUUGCAUGAAUUAUACGAAAAGGAAGGGAAACAUCUGAUAAUAUGCAAAAUAUAAAAUUAAAGGUGGUGGUUAUUCAGUUACUUUUCUUCUGCCUUCAUCUACUGUCAACUCAUUGGUAUACUAGAUGAAAUGUUUAUGGGAUUUUGUAAGAACAUUGAAGGUAUUGGACAAUUGAGAGUUCGAGAUUUUGCAGUUGAAGAAUUUGUUUCCAUCUCUUCCACUUUGUAUAUAACUAUAUAAUUUCAAUAUAAUUUUGUAAUGGAUUUCAAUUUAAUUAUGCAAUUUUGAUUCUUUUAA